rnacentral:lncRNA from 1 species
UCAAAAAAAAAAAUCAAGGGCAUGGACGUGACCAAUUUUGUAACAAAACUUUUUCUGUUUUUGUGGCUUCGUAAAUUCUGACUUAUGAAUAAAAAUAGAUACACUAAAGUUGUCUCUAGCAGGAGGGAUAUUUGAACUCCCAUAGUGAAUGUUGCAUGGCAUGUAUGGUAAGCUAGUUACAUUUAUCUCCUGUACACUUAUGUUAUCUUGAACAUGCUCCGUUAGUCUUUCAAAUCUAAUGUUGAUUGUAUUUGUUUGGACAAAUGAUCUUAGGCUAUCUUUUGGCAUUGGAAACCCACUCUAGCCUAAAAAGCCUACUCGUGCAUGAAUAUAAUCUCUAGUCACCCACUUUGAGCCUCUGGACCUUUCUUUGGCAAACUCAUUACAAACCGUGAACCAUUUUUUUAUACCUCCUUUGAACCAUGUCCUCAUUGAACUCAAAAAUGAAACUUGAGGUUAAAAUCCUAAGUUGGGGGUGGUAAAGAUUGACGGAAGUAAGUUUAGGGUGGCCACAAAGUUUUAAAUAAAAUACCUAUUGUGCCUUAGCAUUGAAAGAAAAUGAAUAGAAAAAGAGAGGAACAAACAAAUAAAUGAAUUGGACUAGAGUGGAAGAAAAAAAUGGAAUAAUAUAGGUGAACAAAGAAGGCAAAAGGUAGGCAUAAAAAAUAAGAGAAAACAAAUAAAAUUGGCCCAUAGUCAAAAAGGAGAAUUGAAAAGUGUGAUGUAGAUGUUCAAGGAAGGGUGCAGCCAUUUAGUUACCAAAUAAUAUCCUCUCCUAACUUGAACCUACGUUACAAGCAUAGAAAGUCCUAUAAUAUCUCUAACCAUUUACUUUCUUUGUAUUGGCGGUUGAAAAUAGGGGCAAGCCUAUGGUAUGACACGUGUUGCAUAGAUAUUUCUUUUGUGAGGGAGAGAGUUUUUUCACUUAAAAAUCCUAGUUACAUAUUUGGGACCCUGGUGUAUGGAAUUCUCUUUGUUUUGAGGUUGGCAUAUGAAAUAAUUUGAGGUGGGUGAUUUUGUCACCUUUCGAACGAUGAGGCAAAUAGAGCAUGACUUAGUUUUGAUCAUAAAAUAAGUCACUUCUAAAGUAUUAGUUGUUGUUUCUUGAUUGAUCUAUGAAUUAUUGUGUAUCCUUUGAUAGUGCAUCUUAUGAUGAGGGGAGUAGCGAAAAAUAGCUUAGCCCAUGUACAAUGAGCUAUUUGUAGAAAUUACUAAAGUUGAAGUCAUUGUGAUUUUUAAGGCAUGAAGUUUAGGCAUAAAUAAUUGUGUCUCAUGGUAAGAGGUAGUGUUUCUUGAGGACAAGAAAUAGCUUUAAGUUGGGGGUGUUGAUGAGUAGUGAUUUUACAACCCAUUCACACUCAAUAUUCGUACACAUUACCUUGUUUUGAAUGAAUAAAUGAGACAUAAUUGUGAUUAAAUACACUAAUAUGCAUUCUUUGCAGGCACAAAGUUGAGGGGAUGAAAAGAUAUGGAUUGGAGAUUUAAAUGAUAAAAAAAGGGAGCAGGAAAGUGCAACAGAAGACCUAGAGUAGAAGGGCCUCAGUUACCGCGGCCGUGGCCUGCUAACCGCAAUUGCGAUAGUCAAGCAUGCUCAAUAAACUGCAGUCGCAAUCGCGUAAGUCUAUAAGUGGUCGCAGAGGCCUUGGUUGCGAAUUAGCGGAAGAUUUUAGCCCAAGGGAAAAUCUGGAAAUGCACGUGGCUGAUCCUAAUUUUGACAAAAAGAUUCAAAAGCUAAAAUGAUUCAUCAU